rnacentral:lncRNA from 1 species
GGACCGGACAGGGAAGGGCCCUCUGGGGCUGCAGAUGCCGGCCCAGGGAAGCGCCUGGGGACCGGGAACCGGGGACCGGGACCUGGAGAUCUAGUCCCGGACCACCAAGCGGAAGUGAGGUGUCCCCCCCCUCACCUCGGAGCAUCGGCUCGGGCCGCGGGAUCACGGCCACCACCACGGCCUCGUCGUCAUCAUCCCCUUCCUCACACUUGAGCGUCACCUCGAAGCAAUCCAGAGCCGCGGCGCCCUUGGCUUUCAGGGCCAUGGCGAGGCGAAGAAGGGCGACCGGAUAGCCGAGGACGUUCGCACAGACCUCGGCGCACCGCCUGUGGCGGCCGCCUCCUGCCCCGGACCACCCCGGGCCCGCGGCUCGCCUAGCUCACCCGCCGCUCGCCCGGCCGCCCCGCCAGCCACGGGCUUCAACGCGUCACGACCCCGGGCGGGGAGGGUUCGAUCCGGGGCCCCCAACCCCGCCGCUCCCUUUUAUGGAGGCUCAUUGUCAGCGUCCGUCCGGCAGUCCCGCCUCCAGACCAGGCUGGCCAAUCACGUGAGGACACGCCCCCUAGCCCCGCCCCAGCCACAGGUCUGGGCCAGAACCCUGUGCAGCGCGUUUGUCUCUGGCCGGUUUGCUCGGCGGCGAAGCCUGGAGUUUUCCUGGGAGCGGCGCCGGCAGCCUUGGAGACCCGGUAGGGCAUCCCCACCAAUGGCUGGAGGAAAGGGCUGCUCGGCAUCUUACUUCUUGGCUUUCCCCUGACUAGCUGCCUGCCUGGGAGGCAACACAGACGAGAAAAGACCGGUGGGGAUGUGUGAAGGAUACAUAGGCUCAGAAGUGUGGAGACAUCUCUUCUAAUUUCUUUGGGCCUCGUUCCUUUCUACUAGCACAUACGCUUUAGGGAAAGAAAAAUCACUUUGGAUCCUCCUAAACAAAGAUUCUAGAAGAUGAAGAGGACAAGAGUGGCGUGUGGGCGUGUGUAAACCGCUUCCGAUGGAUAUAAUUUACGUUAAAAACAAAACAAAACAAAAAACGUGAGUCCAGAGAGUGUGGCCUUUUCCCAGGACACAGCAAAUCCCCUGAGAGCCUCCAAGACCGGGAUCCGGUUGCUAUGGCGCUGCUGCCUGGCAUUCGUGCCUGAGUGAAGACUGUCACAAUGGGCACUUACACUUCUGCAUAACAUCCCCUCCCCACACACAUACACACACCAGACACGCUAGAUUUCAGCUGAGAAACGGCAAAAAUGUCUGGCACUCAAAAUUCUGAUUUUAAGUGCUACCAACAGUAAUUAUCAGCCCAGAAACAGUAAUUGUGGAUGAUGUAGGAGGCUAGGGGACAGAAGAGAAACAGUUCACUUACCGUAUAUUGUGUGUGUGUGUGUGUGUGUGUGUGUGUGUGUGUGUGUGUGUGUUUGUGUGUGCGCGCGCGCCCUGGGCAUACCCACCCCCCCCCCAUCCACUGCAUAACCAGCUUUUAUUUUGUUGAGAUAAGGACUCACUUUCAUGUCAGUCUGACCUGGAAUCUGUGUAACCCUGCUUGCCCCAAACCUUUUCCUCCUCCCUCCAUUCCCCUGGCACAAGGAUUAAAGGUCUGAGCUGACACCACAUACAGCAGCCACAAUAGAAAGAACUGAGGAAAUUUCUAUUACUUUGAAAUGUACCCAGUACUAAAAAGAUACUCCAAAUCAAGCAAUUUCCUAGGCCUGGAUAGUUCUUACCUAAAGGCUGUUCUUUGCUUUUUGCCCAAUGCCUCUGGGUAGGUAGUCUGUUCUGUUUUUGCA